UUUUAGAUUAUCCGGGUGAGUGCUACGAGGCCAGCUAUGGAAUCCACUUGCCGAAAGAUUCAAAGCGUUUCAAUAAUGAAAAAUGUGAGCAGUAUAUUUGUUCUGAUGAUUACACGUUUUCACUUUAUGGAUGUGGUGUGAUAGGUGCGAGACCGAAUUGUCAUAUAUCCAAGAUCGAUUCAACGAAAGAGUAUCCAAAUUGUUGUCCCCGGGAGGUUUGCUCAUGAGUGUAAAAUACCUGUUGAAAAGUGAAUAGAACAGUGCCCUACUUUCUUUGCCGACUUUAAGGCGUUUUGAAUUAUGUACUAGGCAUAUUCCCGACAUCCCUCCAAUCUUGGAAGAAACUCACACACAAGACAA